rnacentral:misc_RNA from 1 species
GAUGAAGAACGUAGUGAAACGCGAUAAGUAAUGUGAAUUGCAGAAUUUAGUGAAUCAUCGAACUUUUGAACGCACAUUGCGCCCGGCGGCACUCCGCCGGGCAUGCCUGUCCGAGCGUCAUUAUACUGCCCUCGACUCUCCGAGUCGGUGUUGGGAGCCUCUGCGCCCGUACGCAGCUCCCCAAGUCCACUGGCGUCGCGCCACGGUGCCCCUGCGUAGUAAUCUCACCUCGCUUGGGACCCUGGGUGCCGGCUGCCCUUCUCUCUCUCGCAGCAGGCUCUCUCGAGCCGGCUCCAGCACAGUUGACCUCGGAUCAGGUAGGGUUACCCGCUGAACUUAAGCAUAUCAAUAAGCGGAGGA